GUUUUUUAUAUUUUUACAUCAAGUGAGUUUAAUUCUUACUUUUCUUGAUAAUUUUUAUGUUUUUAUGACUUUUACAAUUAGGUCCACUUGUAGAAUUCAUUAGUUUUUGAUUUUAUGGGUGAAAUUGGAAGUUACCCUGGAUGGAUAAGGGAAUUUUAUGAUGAAUUAUUAUGAAAUUUAAGUUCUAAUUUCAUAUUAAGGUGGUUUUAUUAAGUGAUUUUGAUAGGAAAUGAUAUUUAGGACCUAAUUGUGAAAAAGUUGUGAAUUGAAGGUUUCUGUUGAAAUUAAUAAUAUAAAAGGUUUUGAAAUAGUUUAUAAUGAUAAAAUAAAGUGUUAAUUGAGAAAAAUUAGUUCAAUUGAUGGGUGAAUUGAGCAGGGACUAAAUUGUGAAAAUUGUAAAUUUUGGGGUAAAAGUGAAAUUUCGAAAUUUGAACAGCAUAAAUUGUGAAGUGAAAUAGAAUUGAAAUGGAUGCUAAUGAAGGAAUGAUUUUAUAAUUAUAGAUCAAGAAAACGAACUGAAUCGUGGAAAGGAGAAAAUUCAAGAAUAGUCCCUGAAUUUCUACGACUUUUGCAAAUUAGUCCAGGUAAGUUCAUAUGGCAAAGUUCAAUAUUUUGUUAUGAAAAUCUUAUGAUUGUUAAAAUAUUUUAUUGUUGAUGAAUACUAUCAAUUUGCAUUAACUAAUAAAUAAUGUGUAACUAAAAGUACAAAUUAGUAGGAACAGUGGAUUUGAGUGCUUCUAUUCUGUGACCCUGAUGAAUUGACGAAAAAUAUGUGAUAAGUGCGCCCGUUUAAGACCAUAGCUGGGCUAUGGCAUCGGUGCAAUGUGAUAAUGUGACUCCGUAUAAGACCAUAGCUGGGCUAUGGCAUCGGUAUAAUGUAAUAAUGUGAUUCCGUAUAAGACCAUGUCUGGGAUAUGGCUUCGGUAUGAUAUGUGAACCGUGUAAGACCAUGGCAAGGCUAUGGCUUCGGUGUGUGAUGCGUAACAAUGUGAAAGUCCAUAGUUUACUAUGGCAAUGUGAUAAUGAAGCACUCAAUUCCCUUAUUGUUCCCUAAUUUGACAAUGAAGUAAAUGAGAAAUGGGCCUAAGGGAGUUAAAUUGUGAGUAGCCAUAUGGAAAUUAUUCCAAUGAGUUAUUAAUGAAAUUGUGAUUUGGAGGAUGAAAUAGUUAAACUAAUAGAUAUAUGAUUGUGUACGAUAUUUGAUAUGAUUUGUGUUUUUAUGCCUAUGAGCUUACUAAGCUUCAAUAAGCUUACUUGUGUGUGUUUAAUAUUUUUAUGUAGAUUGACUUGAAGUGAAGUCGGUAGAUCGGAUCAACACAACAGGGCACACUAUUCAGAUCAAUUCCAGUAGUUUUUGUUUUAUGUUUAAAGAUUUAUAUGGCA
rnacentral:lncRNA from 1 species